UUUUUUACAGUAUGUGAAAGGAUCUCUUUGGCUGCAAAGGUUGGUCAUGAUACCCUUUUGUCUUGUAGUGAAAGGCAAAGAAGAAGAGAAGACCUCAGAUGUCAAGUCCAAUAAAGGUCCUGGCUGUGUAAGUGAUGGGAUCACAGCUUCAAUAGCCGUAUAUUCCCCACAAAAAAGUACUAAAAAUCAUGCCUUGCUGGAGGCUGCAGGACCAAGUCAUGUUGCAAUCAAUGCCAUUUCUGCCAACAUGGACUCCUUUUCAAGCAGCAGGACAGCAACACUUAAGAAACAACCAAGCCACAUGGAGGCUGCUCACUUUGGGGACCUGGGCAGAUCUUGUCUGGACUACCAGACUCAAGAGACCAAAUCAAGUCUUUCAAAAACUCUCGAACAAGUCUUGCACGACACUGUUGUCCUCCCAUACUUCAUUCAGUUCAUGGAACUUCGGAGAAUGGAACAUUUGGUUAAAUUUUGGUUAGAGGCUGAGAGUUUUCACUCUACCACUUGGUCUCGAAUAAGAGCACACAGUCUGAAUACAGUGAAGCAGAGCUCACUGGCUGAGCCUGUCUCUCCAUCUAAAAAGCACGAAACUGCAGCAUCUUUUAUAACUGAGUCCCUUGACAAGAGAUUGGAAGAUUCUUGUGCAGCCCAAUUGCUUAUGACUCAGUCAGAAGGAAUUGACCUGAAUAAUAGAACUAACAGCAGUCAGAAUCACUUGCUGCUUUCCCAAGAAUGUGACAGAACCUAUUCUUUCCAUCUUGAAAUGGCUAGAGCAGGAACUCAUCUGGUUUCCGUGGAAACUCAAGAAUCUUCCUCCAGACUUACAAUAGCCAGUAGAAACAUUCCCUCUUCUCCACUGAAAGAAUUAUCAGGAAAACUAAUGAAAAGUAUAGAACAAGAUGCAGUGAAUACUUUUACCAAAUAUAUAUCUCCAGAUGCUGCUAAGCCCAUACCAAUUACAGAAGCAAUGAGAAAUGACAUCAUAGCAAAGAUCUGUGGAGAAGAUGGACAAGUGGAUCCCAAUUGUUUUGUUUUGGCGCAGGCCAUAGUCUUUAAUGCAAUGGAGCAAGAGCACUUUAGUGAGUUUCUGCGAAGUCACCAUUUCUGUAAAUACCAAAUUGAAGUGCUGACCAGUGGAACUGUCUACCUGGCUGACAUUCUCUUCUGUGAGUCAGCUCUCUUUUAUUUCUCUGAGUACAUGGAAAAAGAAGAUGCAGUGAAUAUUUUGCAAUUCUGGUUGGCAGCAGAUAACUUUCAGUCUCAGCUUGCUGCCAAAAAGGGCCAGUAUGAUGGACAGGAGGCACAGAAUGAUGCCAUGAUUUUAUAUGACAAAUACUUCUCCCUCCAAGCCACACAUCCUCUUGGAUUUGAUGAUGUUGUACGGUUAGAAAUUGAAUCUAAUAUUUGCAGGGAAGGUGGGCCACUCCCUAACUGUUUUACAACUCCAUUACGUCAGGCCUGGACAACUAUGGAGAAGGUCUUUCUGCCUGGCUUUUUGUCCAGUAACCUUUAUUAUAAGUAUUUGAAUGAUCUCAUUCAUUCUGUUCGAGGAGAUGAAUUUCUGGGAGGGAGUGUUUCGCUGACUGCUCAUGGCUCUGUUGGCCUGCCUGAUGAAUCUCACCCUGGUGGUUCUGACAGUGCCACUUCUCAGUCCAGUGUGAAAAAAGCCAGUAUUAAAAUUUUGAAAAAUUUUGAUGAAGCGAUAAUUGUGGAUGCUGCAAGUCUGGAUCCAGAAUCUUUAUAUCAACGGACAUAUGCAGGGAAGAUGACAUUUGGAAGAGUCAGUGACUUGGGGCAGUUCAUUCGAGAAUCUGAGCCUGAACCUGAUGUAAAGAAAUCAAGAGGAUCUAUGUUCUCACAAGCUAUGAAGAAGUGGGUGCAAGGAAAUACUGAUGAGGCCCAAGAAGAGCUGGCUUGGAAGAUUGCCAAAAUGAUAGUCAGUGACGUUAUGCAGCAAGCACAGUAUGACCAACCAUUAGAAAAAUCUACAAAGCUAUGACUCAAGGCCUGAGAUAAAGGACAUCUUCUUUUGAAGUAUAAGAGAACUUUGUCCUUUGGUUGGAUUCUACAACACAGCCAGUGAAAACAGAGCACUGUAUUUUUUUCACUGAUACAUCACUGUUGUUUCCAAGAAAGAAUGGGAGACAAUCCUAGACCAUAUUGCAGAAUAACAUGUAGCCAUAAAAUGAUGCACAUGGUGUUCGCACAGUGAGUCACAAAGAUACAAAAUGGGCAUUGACGGCUCUUUAUAUAUUGCUCCUUCCUAAUAUAUCCAUACCCAGAACAUGAGCAACUACUGGAUUUAGCCUUGUGUUAACAGUGUAGGCAUAGAACUGAGGAACUCUUCAUGCCAUACAACAGGCUCUUAGCUGAAACUCCUGGCCAGCACUUAGCUCUUCAGAGAAACAUAGCUCCAAAUGGUGGGUCAAAGCCCAGAAGCUCACCAAGGCUACCAACACAUCCAGCCAGAUUUUAGCUUUGCUUCUCUUACCAAGGAGCAGCCAUUGUUCCUUUAAUUACAGAACUAUUGGUUUAAUAAAUGUACACCCUGUGCGUGUCAAGCAUUAUUUACAGUACAGGGACACGGAAUAAAACUUCCAGGCCUCUUAGAGCUACUGAGGAGGAGCUGGAAAUUAGAAAUUACAUCUAAAAUAUGUGCUGGGCUGGACAUGUCAGUGGGAGAGUACAUGUGUAGGAUGCAUGAAAUUCCAAGUUCAAAAACACUGAAAAAUUAAUAAAAUAUGUUCUGGUAUUUUUUAUUUGGGAUGGCCUUUUGAACGCAUGAUGUAACCUUUUUACACCUCUUCCUCAUGGCAACUGAAAAUCAGCUGGCUCUUGGCUGAGCUAAUAGGGAGAAUGUAGUUUGGAGAGAGUGGGACAGAGGAACUGAGGGAGCAUUACCCUCUUCACCCUCUCAGCCUCAACCUUCCGCAAGGACUAGUUGCUGUGGCAUUCCAUUUAUUUACACUUAGGUGUUGAUGAAAGUGUCAACAUCUUGAUGUCAGACCAUCAAAGUGAGUCUCUGAAUAAGACAAAGUAUAGAAAAGUUCGCAGGAUCAAUCUUAGCUCUCUGCAGAGUUUUGGUGCAUGUUAAUUCUCAGAGCAAGGAAAAUAAUAUGAGGUUAUGUGCAUGUGAUAUGAGAUCAUGGCCUUAAGGUUUUAAGCUAAUUCCAUUAAGUGAUGAGCUUCUUGUAAGUUGUACUUUAAUAAUAAUAGCCAGCAUAAUUGAGUACUAUCUUAUCUGAUCCAUAUAACAUUCUUACAAGGUUAAAUGCUUGUUUUUUUCUAUCAUAAAUGAGGAUGCUGAGGCUUGCCAAAUAAAGGAAUUUUUCUAGGAUCUCAUAGCUAAGAAUCAAACCCAAGCAGCAAGGCUGCUGCUCACCCACUGUUGUGUCAGACUGUAAUGUUUGUUCAUCUUUCUUUUAUUUUGCCAUACUGGUCAGUAUUUACCACAGACUAAUACAGCAGAGGUUAGAGGCUUAAGAAAAAAUUAGUGGGUUCUGGCUUUAAAAUGUAAAACACCCUAUCCUUUAUCUUCAAGCAAUAGUUCUUUUAACUUUCAUACACAUCUGGAUCUCCUGAAAAACUUGUUAAAACAGAGUUCCUGAUUUAGUAAAUCCGGGGUGGUGUCAGAAUUUGCAUUUCUAACAAAUUCCCAGAUGAUGAUGUUGAUGCUGUAGUCAUCAGUACUUGUUAUUUUCCCAGCCUUUGCUGCAGACAGGGUCCGUGGAAUAUUCUUCCAGGACCGAGGCUUCAGGCUGUUGGGAUAAUACCCAGGGUCCCUGUGAAACCCUUUGCACAGAUCCUGCCUGGUCCAUUUCCUCCAUUUGCCUCCCAAAUCCUUGAUGACACUUGCCCUGUGAGAUUCUGACCAUGCCUUUCUUGACCUAUUUCUCCUUUGCUGAUCACCUUUCCAAGUCCCUCCCAUAGGAUGCUCUUGAUACAUCUUCCUUUUCUUCUUUUCCUCCUUCUUGCUCUCAGGUCCCUCUUCCUGCACCUGUUUCCCAAGACCUGUUAUAUGCCUGUUCUAGCUGCUAGGGAAUACAGCAGUGUCCAGGGCGGACAUACUACCUGUUUUCCUUGCAGUCUUGAAAACAUAAUCACAACUCAUUAUGAUGAUUAUUGUGAGAGAAAGAAACCUGUUGGGGGCAAUUUAAGGGAAUUUUCCCCCACCCCCUUCCCGGCCAUCUCAGUUUUUCUCCAGGACCUCCUCAUUCUGCACAUCUCUUUAACUCAGAAUACCAUUUCUUGGGGCCAGGGAUGUAGCUCGGUGGUACUGUGGCCACCUGGCAAGUGCAAGGUUCUGAGUUUGAUCCUUGAUAUGGGGGGGGUGCCAUUUUUUCACAACCCUGACACAUGUAGGCCUCUCCCACCCCCCAGACUCCCCAACUAGACAAGGACUCCAGGUUAGCCUUGUCCACAAGCCCCUGUGCAGGACUUUGCUCCACAUCCUCAUUCAAACCCUUGUUACCUGGGGAGGCUGUCCCCUCCCAUCAGCUUUCUUCACUCCAUUCCCACCCCAGGAAACAUUGCUGCCCAUGGUGAUCUGCCCAAAACCUAGCCUCCAACUUUGGUCUCUUGGUAUUUUACUCUCCAGUGACCCCCAUAACUGGUUGGUUGUCAUUUCUUGCAACUAUUCUACCUCUGGCUGCUCCUCACACAUUGUAGUCUACCAGCCUAAAAAGCAAGACAAGUUUUUUAUGGUUAUUGUUUCUCCUAUUGGAAUGAGUUAGAAGGGAAUAAGAAAAGUCAUUAUUCUAGAAAGAUAUUCCCUCAUACGUCGAGUAAGGUUUUGCAAACUAGCCUUUCAAAAAGCAAUUCAAAAGCAAUAAGUAUGUGGUUCUGUUGCAAGGAUUAGAAACGUAUACCUACACGGUAGCCAGGCGUGGUGGUGCACACCUGUAAUCCCAAUACUUGGGAGGCUCAGGCAGGAGGAUCACUG